UACGGGGGGAGCAAGCGUUGUUCGGAAUUACUGGGCGUAAAGGGCUCGUAGGUGGCCAACUAAGUCAGACGUGAAAUCCCUCGGCUUAACCGGGGAACUGCGUCUGAUACUGGAUGGCUUGAGUUUGGGAGAGGGACGCGGAAUUCCAGGUGUAGCGGUGAAAUGCGUAGAUAUCUGGAGGAACACCGGUGGCGAAGGCGGCGUCCUGGACCAAUACUGACACUGAUGAGCGAAAGCCAGGGGAGCAAACAGG
rnacentral:rRNA from 1 species